AGUGAACGCUGGCGGUAGGCCUAACACAUGCAAGUCGAACGGCAGCACAGUAAGAGCUUGCUCUUACGGGUGGCGAGUGGCGGACGGGUGGGGAAUACAGCGGAAUCUACUUUUUCGUGGGGGAUAACGUAGGGAAACUUACGCUAAUACCGCAUACGAACUACGGGUGAAAGCAGGGGAUCUUCGGACCUUGCGCGAUUGAAUGAGCCGAUGUCGGAUUAGCUAGUUGGCGGGGUAAAGGCCCACCAAGGCGACGAUCCGUAGCUGGUCUGAGAGGAUGAUCAGCCACACUGGAACUGAGACACGGUCCAGACUCCUACGGGAGGCAGCAGUGGGGAAUAUUGGACAAUGGGCGCAAGCCUGAUCCAGCCAUACCGCGUGGGUGAAGAAGGCCUUCGGGUUGUAAAGCCCUUUUGUUGGGAAAGAAAAGCAGCAGGUUAAUACCCCGCUGUUCUGACGGUACCCAAAGAAUAAGCACCGGCUAACUUCGUG
rnacentral:rRNA from 1 species